rnacentral:rRNA from 1 species
CUUAACACAUGCAAGUCGAACGGAAAGGCCCUGCUUUUGUGGGGUGCUCGAGUGGCGAACGGGUGAGUAACACGUGAGUAACCUGCCCUUGACUUUGGGAUAACUUCAGGAAACUGGGGCUAAUACCGGAUAGGAGCUCCUGCUGCAUGGUGGGGGUUGGAAAGUUUCGGCGGUUGGGGACGGACUCGCGGCUUAUCAGCUUGUUGGUGGGGUAGUGGCUUACCAAGGCUUUGACGGGUAGCCGGCCUGAGAGGGUGUCCGGCCACAUUGGGACUGAGAUACGGCCCAGACUCCUACGGGAGGCAGCAGUGGGGAAUAUUGCACAAUGGGCGGAAGCCUGAUGCAGCAACGCCGCGUGCGGGGUGACGGCCUUCGGGUUGUAAACCGCUUUCGCCUGUGACGAAGCGUGAGUGACGGUAAUGGGUAAAGAAGCACCGGCUAACUACGUGCCAGCAGCCGCGGUGAUACGUAGGGUGCGAGCGUUGUCCGGAUUUAUUGGGCGUAAAGGGCUCGUAGGUGGUUGAUCGCGUCGGAAGUGUAAUCUUGGGGCUUAACCCUGAGCGUGCUUUCGAUACGGGUUGACUUGAGGAAGGUAGGGGAGAAUGGAAUUCCUGGUGGAGCGGUGGAAUGCGCAGAUAUCAGGAGGAACACCAGUGGCGAAGGUGGUUCUCUGGGCCUUUCCUGACGCUGAGGAGCGAAAGCGUGGGGAGCGAACAGGCUUAGAUACCCUGGUAGUCCACGCUGUAAACGGUGGGUACUAGGUGUGGGGUCCAUUCCACGGGUUCCGUGCCGUAGCUAACGCUUUAAGUACCCCGCCUGGGGAGUACGGCCGCAAGGCUAAAACUCAAAGGAAUUGACGGGGCCCCGCACAAGCGGCGGAGCAUGCGGAUUAAUUCGAUGCAACGCGUAGAACCUUACCUGGGUUUGACAUGGAUCGGGAGUGCUCAGAGAUGGGUGUGCCUCUUUUGGGGUCGGUUCACAGGUGGUGCAUGGCUGUCGUCAGCUCGUGUCGUGAGAUGUUGGGUUAAGUCCCGCAACGAGCGCAACCCUUGUUCACUGUUGCCAGCACGUUAUGGUGGGGACUCAGUGGAGACCGCCGGGGUCAACUCGGAGGAAGGUGGGGAUGACGUCAAGUCAUCAUGCCCCUUAUGUCCAGGGCUUCACGCAUGCUACAAUGGCUGGUACAGAGAGUGGCGAGCCUGUGAGGGUGAGCGAAUCUCGGAAAGCCGGUCUCAGUUCGGAUUGGGGUCUGCAACUCGACCUCAUGAAGUCGGAGUCGCUAGUAAUCGCAGAUCAGCAACGCUGCGGUGAAUACGUUCCCGGGGCUUGUACACACCGCCCGUCAAGUCAUGAAAGUUGGUAACACCCGAAGCCGGUGGCCUAACCGUUGUGGGGGAGCCGUCGAAGGUGGGACUGGUGAUUAGGACUAAGUA